CCUACGGGUGGCAGCAGUGGGGAAUAUUGCACAAUGGGGGAAACCCUGAUGCCGCGACGCCGCGUGAGUGAAGAAGUAUUUCGGUACGUACAGCUCUAUCAGCAGGGAAGAAAAUGACGGUACCUGACUAAGAAGCCCCGGCUAACUACGUGCCAGCAGCCGCGGUAAUACGUAGGGGGCAAGAGUUAUCCGGAUUUUUUGGGUGUAAAGGGAGCUGAGACGGCACGGCAAGUCUGAAGUGAAAUCCCAUGGGUUAACCAUGGAACAGCUUUUGAAACUGUGGAGCUAGAGUGCAGGAGAGGUAAGCGGAAUUCCUAGGGGAGCGGUGAAAUGCGUAGAUAUUAUGAGGAACACCAGUUGAGAAGG
rnacentral:rRNA from 1 species